rnacentral:pre_miRNA from 12 species
AGACAUGGUGCCCUUGGCCGCUCAGUAGUCGGUGUAGGAUCUGUCCGACAGUCUCACUAACAGCUACAUCUGAUUACUGGGUCACCAAAGGACCACCACCAUGCUGC